rnacentral:misc_RNA from 1 species
CGCUGCCGCUGUCGCUGAUUACCAGCUUCGGGGUGAUGUACUUCGCCGGCUUCAGCCUCGACAACCUGUCGCUGAUGGCGCUGACCAUCGGUACCGGUUUCGUGGUCGACGACGCCAUCGUGAUGAUCGAGAACAUCGUCCGGCAUAUGGAGGACGGCGAGGGCGUGAUGGACGCCGCGCUGCGCGGCGCCAGUGAAAUCGGGUUCACGGUCAUAUCGCUGACGGUGUCGCUGAUCGCGGUGUUCAUCCCGCUGCUGUUCAUGUCGGGCCUCGUCGGGCGCAUGUUCCGGGAGUUCGCGCUGACGCUGACGAUUGCGGUCGUGACAUCCGCCGU